AAAAGGGCGCAUGGCGGAUGCCUUGGCUCUCGGAGGCGAUGAAGGACGUGAUAAGCUGCGAUAAGCUUUGGGGAGGUGCAAAUGACCUUUGAUCCAGAGAUUUCCGAAUGGGACAACCCAAUAUCUUGAAGAGGUAUUAUCCAACGUUGUUGGAGGCUAACGCAGGGAACUGAAACAUCUUAGUACCUGCAGGAAAAGAAAAUAAACAAUGAUUCCCUCAGUAGUGGCGAGCGAACGGGGAACAGCCCAAACCAUCCAUGUUACGGCAUGGGUGGGGUUGUAGGACUACGCCGUUGCAUGAAGACAUCAGAGAAGAACUUUCUGGAAAGAAAGACCAUAGAGCAUGACAGUUGCGUAUUCGAAUGUUGUCGAAGCAUAGUAGUAUCCUGAGUAGCGCGGAGCACGAGGAAUUCUGCGUGAAUCUGCCGGGACCAUCCGGUAAGGCUAAAUACUCCCGAGAGACCGAUAGCGAACCAGUACCGUGAGGGAAAGGUGAAAAGCACUUCGAACAGAAGAGUGAAAUAGUUCCUGAAACCGUGCGCCUACAAGCGGUCGGAGCUCGUUAAUGAGUGACGGCGUGCCUUUUGCAUAAUGAACCUACGAGUUGCCUUUGCCGGCAAGGUUAAGUGUGACGACACACGUAUCCGAAGCGAAAGCGAGUCUGAACAGGGCGUAUAGUCGGCAGUGGCAGACGCGAAACCAAGUGAUCUACCCUUGGCCAGGUUGAAGGCUGGGUAACACCAGCUGGAGGACCGCACCAAUAAGCGUUGAAAAGCUUCUGGAUGAGCUGAGGGUAGGGGUGAAAGGCUAAUCAAACUUGGAGAUAGCUCGUACUCCCCGAAAUGCAUUUAGGUGCAGCCUUGCGGGUUACUGAUGUGAGGUAGAGCGACUGAUAAGAUGCGAGGGCUUCACCGCCUAUCAAGUCUUGACAAACUCCGAAUGCGCAUCAGUUCUACCGCAGGAGUGAGGGCAUGGGUGCUAAGGUCCGUGCCCGAGAGGAGAAGAAUCCGGACCACCUGCUAAGGUCCCGAAAUGACAGCUAAGUUAAACUAACGAAGUCUGACUGCUAAGACAGCUAGGAUGUUGGCUUGGAAGCAGCCAUUCAUUUAAAGAGUGCGUAACAGCUCACUAGUCGAGGAGUCGGGCGUGGAUAAUAAUCGGGUAUCAAGUUGUCUACCGAAGCAGUGGGAUCAUUUAUAUGAUCGGUAGGGGAGCAUUCCAGUCGGCGUCGAAGGCGUACCGUGAGGUAUUCUGGAGCGUCUGGAAAAGCAAAUGUAGGUAUAAGUAACGAUAAAGGGGGCGGGAAACCCCCUCGCCGAAAGACUAAGGUUUCCUGAUCAACGCUAAUCGGAUCAGGGUCAGUCGGGUCCUAAGGCUCAGCCGAACGGCGAUGCCGAUGGCAGAAACGGUUAAUAUUCCGUUACUACCUUCAGGAGUGACGUGGAGACGCAGUAGUGACAGUGCCGCCAUCUGACGGAAUAGAUGGUUGAAGGGUGUAGGAGUCGAUCAUGGCAGGCAAAUCCACCAUGAGAUCCGAACCUGACAGUAUGCCGCGUCCUUCGGGACAAGGCAAUAGUGCGCGUAAGCAUGCUGCCGAGAAAAUCCGCUAAACUUAAUCCUGCAGGUACCCGUACCGCAAACGGACACACGUAGUCGGGAUGAAUAUUCUAAGGCGCUUGAGUGAUUCACGGUUAAGGAACUAGGCAAACUGACCCUGUAACUUCGGGAUAAAGGGUCCCUACCCUUUUAUGGGAGGGCGCAGAGAAUCGGUCCAGGCAACUGUUUAACAAAAACACAGGGCUGUGCCAAAUCGAAAGAUCCAGUAUACAGCCUGACACCUGCCCGGUGCUGGAAGGUUAAGAGGAGAUGUCAUCGAUAAGAGAAGCGUUGAAUUGAAGCCCCAGUAAACGGCGGCCGUAACUAUAACGGUCCUAAGGUAGCGAAAUUCCUUGUCGGGUAAGUUCCGACCUGCACGAAUGGUGUAAUGAUCUGGACGCUGUCUCAACCGUGAGCUCAGUGAAAUUGUAGUAUCGGUGAAGAUGCCGAUUACCCGCGAUGGGACGAAAAGACCCCGUGAACCUUUACUAUAGCUUAUCAUUGAAUCUGGGCACGUGAUGUGUAGGAUAGGUCGGAGGCUUUGAAGCAGGUACGCCAGUAUUUGUGGAGCCGCUGUUGAAAUACGACCCUUUAUUUGUUUGGAUUCUAACCCGUGGAUACGGGGACAUUGAUUGGUGGGUAGUUUGACUGGGGUGGUCGCCUCCAAAAGCGUAACGGAGGCUUCUAAAGGUGCCCUCCGGCCGAUUGGUAACCGGCCUUAGAGUGUAAUGGCAUAAGGGCGCUUGACUGGGAGACUGACAAGUCGAUCAGGUAGGAAACUAGAGCAUAGUGAUCCGGUGUUUCCGUAUGGAAGGGACAUCGCUCAAAGGAUAAAAGGUACUCCGGGGAUAACAGGCUGAUCCCUCCCAAGAGCUCAUAUCGACGGAGUGGUUUGGCACCUCGAUGUCGGCUCGUCACAUCCUGGGGCUGGAGAAGGUCCCAAGGGUUGGGCUGUUCGCCCAUUAAAGUGGCACGCGAGCUGGGUUCAGAACGUCGUGAGACAGUUCGGUCUCUAUCUAUCGUGGGCGCAUGAAAUUUGCGUGGCUCUGACACUAGUACGAGAGGACCGUGUUGGACAGACCUCUGGUUUGCCGGUUGUGCCGCCAGGUGCAUUGCCGGGUAUCUAAGUCUGGAUCGGAUAAGUGCUGAAAGCAUCUAAGUACGAAGCCGGCCACAAGAUUAGAUUUCUCAGGGUCGUUGUAGACUACGACGUUGAUAGGAUGCAGGUGUAAAGAUGGAGACAUCAAAGCCGAGCAUUACUAAUUGCCCGUUCACUUUCCU
rnacentral:rRNA from 1 species